ACAAAUAAAAAUUAUUAAAUAAGCUAAUCCCUUAAAAGAUCUUUAUAAUAUUGCUUUUUAUUUAUAAAACAAACUCAAAUCCUGAGUUACAUUUAACCUUCUACUCCUUGUAAAUAUCCCUAGCUUGAAUUCAUUGUUAAGAACUAAAUACAUAGUUUGAAAUUCGCCUUUGUUUGAAUUCUCCUUUAGUUUUAUCUACAGUCUACACGACUUCAUGUUUUAAUUCCAUGCUUUCUAGUAUAGGUGUAACUCAACUAAAAUCAGUGUGCACAGUCUUCAAAGUUAAAUAUUUAAUAGGACUUUGAAGUCUUGAUAAAUGAACUUCCAGUCCAGAGGGGCGUUCAUGUUUAACAAUACUAAUUGUGCUUCUAUAUCUAACAAAGGAACAAUACAAUUGUUGAACGGAAAAUUAUAUUCCAUAGGCAAAUAUGAAUUUACCAUAUUCUCCUCAUCAUAAAAGCACUAACCAUCGACAAUAUUAUGAAUUUUGUAUGAAUAUUCAUUGUAGGAUUUCUUUUCUGGGAAAUUUAAUGGGAAUAAUAUUUAUGUAGGUGUAUUCAAUCUUUUAAAAAAAAACUUUUCUUAAAAAUUUGAUACCUGUAUUGUAUAGUAGGUACCUACAUGUUCUCAGUAAUAGUAUUAUGAAGCUCCCAAAUUAAAUCCAUUUAUUUUUAGAAGUACUUGAAUACAUAUUUAAAUGCACCACAAAGGAAUAAAUUUAAAUUGGAGAGAAUAUGAAAUCCAUUAAAAAUUUCAUAAAAUAUAUUAAACAAGGGUAUAUUUAGACUAACGAUUAUAUUUGAUGUGUUUUAUUGCCUGACAAAGUUUUUCAUUAACAAGAAUUUUUUU